UACGUAGGGGGCUAGCGUUGUCCGGAAUCAUUGGGCGUAAAGAGCGUGUAGGCGGUCCGGUAAGUCCGCUGUGAAAGUCCAGGGCUCAACCCUGGGAUGCCGGUCGAUACUGCCUGGCUUGAGGUCGGAAGGGGAAAGUGGAAUUCCGGGUGUAGUGGUGGAAUACGUAGAUAUCCGGAGGAACACCAGCGGCGAAGGCGGCUUUCUGGUCCGAU
rnacentral:rRNA from 1 species